UACGUAGGGCGCAAGCGUUGUCCGGAAUUAUUGGGCGUAAAGAGCUCGUAGGCGGUUUGUCGCGUCUGCUGUGAAAACCUAAGGCUCAACCUUGGGCUUGCAGUGGGUACGGGCAGACUAGAGUACUGCAGGGGAGACUGGAACUCCUGGUGUAGCGGUGGAAUGCGCAGAUAUCAGGAGGAACACCGGUGGCGAAGGCAGGUCUCUGGGCAGUAACUGACGCUGAGGAGCGAAAGCAUGGGGGAGCGAACAGG
rnacentral:rRNA from 1 species